CCUACGGGGGGCAGCAGUGAGGAAUAUUGGUCAAUGGACGCAAGUCUGAACCAGCCAUGCCGCGUGCAGGAAGACGGCCCUAUGAGUUGUAAACUGCUUUUGUACGAGGGUAAACGCAGAUACGCGUAUCUGUCUGAAAGUAUCGUACGAAUAAGGAUCGGCUAACUCCGUGCCAGCAGCCGCGGUAAUACGGAGGAUUCAAGCGUUAUCCGGAUUUAUUGGGUUUAAAGGGUGCGUAGGCGGUCUGAUAAGUUAGAGGUGAAAUCUCGAGGCUCAACUUCGGAAUUGCCUUUGAUACUGUUAGGCUAGAGAGUAGUUGAGGUAGGCGGAAUGUAUGGUGUAGCGGUGAAAUGCUUAGAGAUCAUACAGAACACCGAUUGCGAAGGCAGCUUACCAGGCUACUUCUGACGUUGAGGCACGAAAGCGUGGGGAGCAAACAGGAUUAGAUACCCCAGUAGUC
rnacentral:rRNA from 1 species